UAUAUAUUAUAUAUACUUAAUUAUAAGCACUAUACCAUUUAAAGUGAACAACAAUAUCAGUUUUGACAGUUUUCAAAUUGUAGCUUCUGCAUGGUUUCAUUAUUUCUCGAAAAAGUUUUGAAAUUUGUUUUAUAAAUAAAAUAUGAAUUUCAUAAACUUUUUAGUAGAUUCAGAGAUGCUAAGAGCAUUAGGUCCAAAUAAAGUUAAAAACUCCUGAAUUAAAACUUUUUAAAAUUCCAUGGGAUUAAAAUGAUUUAAUUGCAUUUUUGCUUCGCAAUUAAACUAAUUGACAAACCUAAUUCCUUACCGGCUUGUUUUAAUACUUGAGUGAAGCACUCAUUAUACAAUGCAGUUAUAAUUAUACUUUGCAUGCUGGGUGAAUGGUUACGAUUUCAUGCUAAAUGUUAAUUCAAUAGUAAUCAAUUUCUUUCAUCAUGGCUCAUUCGCCACACUUCUGGUACUUCUAUUGUAGGAUACCCAGUUCAAUGCUCGAUACUGAUGCUCAGGUUGUGGGGAGAAACUAUACAAGUUGAAAUCUCCAGCGUUCUACCUUCCAAUACCUUAUGUUAACGGCCAUAAAACAACGUUCAGUAUUCUUGUGAAGCCGACCAAUGGAAGUUGGCAUGACUGCCAUGAGAAAGACGCGGAUUUCCAUGUUGGAAUUUCCCCUCGUGAUGCAGGAGGAGUAUCAAGUUAUACAUCGGAUGGCGUCAUCCAGGAGCUGAAUGGAUGGGAGGAAUCACUAAUUGUGUUUAACAUUAGCAACCCUGAGUGUGAGAUGAUGUGGGGGAAGUGUUUGGACCAAAUGUCGAGUGAAGAGAAAUGGUCAAAGUACAAGUAUGACGAAAACCGUUACAACUGUUUUGACUUUGCCCUCUCUCUACUGACACAAGUGGAUGAAUCUGUUAAAAGUUUCUUUGGUGAAUCCCCUAAGCUGAUCCCUUUCUCAUUUAACCGAGAAGAAAUGAGAAUGAGGUUUGUCCGAAGACAUGUCAUGCCACAAGUAAAGAUUGCAGCGAACUAUCACAAACUAUCGGUUCAAGUCUCGCACAGGGGAGUCGUGGUUAUGGACUCGCCAGAA